CUGACGAGUGGCGAACGGGUGAGUAACACGUAGGAAUCUACCCAGAAGUGGGGGACAACCCGGAGAAAUCCGGGCUAAUACCGCAUACGCCCUAAGGGGUAAAGCGGGGGACCUUUUCGAAGGCCUCGCGCUUUUGGAUGAGCCUGCGUCGGAUUAGCUUGUUGGUGAGGUAAUGGCUCACCAAGGCAACGAUCCGUAGCUGGGCUGAGAGGAUGACCAGCCACACUGGGACUGAGACACGGCCCAG
rnacentral:rRNA from 1 species